UGACUGCGCAGACGCGGCACGCUGGAGCAGCCCCUUCGUACUCUUUUUCGCUCCCAGGCUCGCCCUCCAGGCUGCGCUGAGGAUGCUCCGGGCCCUGUGUGUCGUGUGCGUGUGUGCGUGUGUGCGUGUGUGUAGCUGUCCUUGACUCAGCGACGGGCUUGGGUGGCCGUGUGUUCCUGUGUAGCUGUAGCUUGUAAACGCGAGAAUAAAAUAGCUCCCUGAGUCAUUUGAUAGCCUCUUUGCUAAAAUGAGACGCAUCCUGGCGUGCCCUCCGUCGUGGACUAUUUAUGACAGGGGUUUAACAGUAGCGCUCCAUCCCGAUUCACUUAAAGAGCAAGAGUUGGCGUUUCAGGGAACAGGAGUUUGAAAUGGAAAAACUAGCCACGCUGCUCAGGUCGGGAUGAUGUAAUCUGCCUUCCAGGAGAGGAAGUCUGAGGAACACCUGGGCGCAGGGAGAACCUCCCCACCAAGUGGAAGCUGCGGUGCUGUACUCUACGCGGAUAACACGCUCCAGGCCUUGGCGGUCCUUUUGGAACACCGGACGCUAUAUGAAGGGGGCAGGUCCCUUCCUUCGCGUCAAAAUCGAACGACCAGUGUCCAAAAUUGAAGGAUAGUGAAGCCAACGCCAACUGACGCUGCCUCUUCUUACACUUUGUCAUACGCCUUCCCUCUCUCCCCAUCAGUCUUAUUUAUACCUCCCUUUUCCUCUUUUCUGUAGGUUAAAUAUUCAUACUCCUGCCCUACCAUUAUCACUGAUUCAUCGCUCCAAAGCACACCUAGGAUGGCAGAGUAGUUGAACCUGGUGGGCUGGAUCAACCUGAAACCAGAGAAAAUGCUGAGACAUCUGGAAAGCAAGAAAUGGACUGAGAAACAAAAAACACACAACUGGCCAGCUUAUAGUUCCAGUCUUCAGCUUCAACUCUCAAGACCUGCCUUAUAAGAAAUCCCUGCCUCAAAAGAUUGACUCAGGAUCAUCUUUAUCCCUCCUUCUGUGUAUGUUUUCAAGUCUCUAUACCUGAUUUCUUCCUCUUUAAUCCCUCCACCCCUUGCUCUCUCUGUUCUUAAGAAUAGAGUGAGUCUUCCCUCGAAUGGCAGCCCCAGCUGCUAUGUCAUAACCUUACUAUAAAAUCUACCCAUCUAGUCUCUGA